AGGACGAACGCUGGCGGCGUGCUUAACACAUGCAAGUCGAGCGGAAAGGCCCUUCGGGGUACUCGAGCGGCGAACGGGUGAGUAACACGUGAGUAAUCUGCCCCUAUGCUCUGGGAUAGCUCCGGGAAACCGGGAUUAAUACCAGAUACGACCACUUUAGACAUCUGUUGUGGUGGAAAGAAUUUUGGCUAGGGAUGAGCUCGCGGCCUAUCAGCUUGUUGGUGAGGUAACGGCUCACCAAGGCGACGACGGGUAGCCGGCCUGAGAGGGCGACCGGCCACACUGGGACUGAGACACGGCCCAGACUCCUACGGGAGGCAGCAGUGGGGAAUAUUGCGCAAUGGGCGAAAGCCUGACGCAGCGACGCCGCGUGGGGGAUGAAGGCCUUCGGUUGUAACCCUUUCAGCAGGGACGAAGCGAAAGUGACGGUACCUGCAGAAGAAGCGCCGGCUAACUACGCGCCAGCAGCCGCGAUAA
rnacentral:rRNA from 1 species